GCCGGGCAUGGUGGUGCACGCCUGUAAUGCCAGCACUCUGGAGGCUGAAGCAGGAGGAUCACUGUGAGUUCUACACCAGCCUGGGCUACAUAGUGAGUUCCAGGUCAGUCUCAACUACAUAGUGAGACCCUGUCUCAAAAGACAAACAAAAAAUAAUAAUAAUUUAUAGUUGUUUGUGGGGAGGGAGGGUUUGAGACAGCAUCUCAGUAUGUAGUUGAGACUGACCUGGAACUCACUAUGUAGCCCAGGCUGGUCUCAGACUCACAGUGAUCCUCCUGCCUCA
rnacentral:sRNA from 1 species